rnacentral:snRNA from 1 species
ACAGAUCUAAGAGACGGUGACGAA